rnacentral:misc_RNA from 1 species
AAUGAUCGUGUGCUGGAACCGAUCGCCUUUCCUGGCUCUCGCCUUCCUCCUGUUCUUUGGCUCGAUCGAGCUCUUAUACUUCUCUGCCUCGCUAGUCAAAUUCCGUGAGGGUGCCUGGUUCCCUCUCCUCCUCGCGCUCUUCCUGAUGAUUGUCAUGUGUGUUUGGCACUAUGCCUCAACAAAGAAAUAUGAGUUUGAUCUCCACAACAAGGUUCCCUUAGACUGGCUCCUCAGCCUCGGUGACACCCUUGGCGUCGCCCGUGUCCCUGGCAUCGGUCUUGUUUACACGGACCUCAUCUCUGGCAUCCCCUCUAACUUCUCACGUUUCGUCACAAACCUGCCAGCAUUCCACCGUAUCCUAGUCUUCGUCUGCAUCAAAUAUGUCCCGGUCCCUUUUGUGCCUUCUGCUGAAAGAUAUCUUGUGGG